rnacentral:rRNA from 1 species
UGGGGAAUUUUGGACAAUGGGCGAAAGCCUGAUCCAGCAAUGCCGCGUGUGUGAAGAAGGCCUUCGGGUUGUAAAGCACUUUUGUCCGGAAAGAAAUCCUUGGCUCUAAUACAGUCGGGGGAUGACGGUACCGGAAGAAUAAGCACCGGCUAACUACGUGCCAGCAGCCGCGGUAAUACGUAGGGUGCAAGCGUUAAUCGGAGUUACUGGGCGUAAAGCGUGCGCAGGCGGUUUGCUAAGACCGAUGUGAAAUCCCCGGGCUCAACCUGGGAACUGCAUUGGUGACUGGCAGGCUAGAGUAUGGCAGAGGGGGGUAGAAUUCCACGUGUAGCAGUGAAAUGCGUAGAGAUGUGGAGGAAUACCGAUGGCGAAGGCAGCCCCCUGGGCCAAUACUGACGCUCAUGCACGAAAGCGUGGGGAGCAAACAGGAUUAGAUACCCUGGUAGUCCACGCCCUAAACGAUGUCAACUAGUUGUUGGGGAUUCAUUUCCUUAGUAACGUAGCUAACGCGUGAAGUUGACCGCCUGGGGAGUACGGUCGCAAGAUUAAAACUCAAAUGAAUUGACGGGGUCAUAGCUG